rnacentral:lncRNA from 1 species
AUAUAUUCUUGAAUGGGGCAAUAAAACAAAUCAAAUGAAAUUAAAAAGAAGUCCCUAGGGGUCACCCCCACCCCAUUCAAUUUGAGAAUGUGCUGUUAUCUUGUAAACGGUCCAGAUCCCCACCCUUAAACCAUAUAUAUUCUUGCAGGGGAAAAUAAAACAAAUCAAAUGAAAUAAAAAAGAAGUCCCUAGGGCGUCACCCCAUCCCCUCUUGUUGGAAAACUUGUAAACGGUCAAGAUCUCCACCC